AAGACUAUACUUUCAGGGAUCAUUUCUAUAGUUUGUUACUAGAGAAGUUUCUCUGAUCGUGUAGAGAAGUAACUGUGCAAAACCAAAGGGAAGGGCUGUAUUUACUUCUGAAAGGA
rnacentral:snoRNA from 1 species